UAUACUAAAGUGUUAGACUCAAUUAAUUUAGUUUAAUUUCGGUUUUUCAAAUAUUUUAUUUUAAAGCAAAUUUUUCUUAAAGAUUAUUUAUAUCCAACUCUAUAACUCGCUUAUGGUUGGUCUUACAAAAGAAAUGCAAAUAACUAUAGUAGAUAACGAAUGGGGGGACAACACAACACAACCUUGACCUUGAGUUUGACCCCGCCCAUUUUCCCUCUCUUUCUUUCAAGGCCACUCGUUCUCUCUCUUACUUUUCAAGGCCAACCCCUCCCACUUCCCCCACCACUUCAAGGCCAAGGCAUUAUUGGACCUUGAUGUUUUCAAGGUCAAGGUUAUUCAUGCUACUCCCCACUUUUGCAAGGCCAACAACUCCUCACUCAUUCAAGAUGAAUCGCGCAAUUGUCCUUACUCAUUUUCCACCCCAAACUGUAUAAAAGUUAAUGUGUUGUGUUGUGUAACACAGUUCUUGUGUAUAUCUACUAUAACAAGAAAUUCUUUAAAAAUGGAACCCAUCAGAAAAAGUUCUAUUUAUAAUACUCCUGAGGAUAUCAUAGUUUGUCCAUACGACAAAAACCACAUUCUUCUUUGGUUUCGGCUCGAAAGGCACAUAUGGAAGUGCCAUCGGGCCGAUAAAGAAAAACAAAGGGCCUUACAUGAAGUGAUGAUGAAGGAAGAGGAGGAGAACUGGGAUCAUUUCAAUGAGCCCAGCUACCUCGACUUUCUGAAAUCUAAAAAAAUUCAUAAUGUCAAAAAACAAAGAUCCUCAUGUGAAGUGAUGAUGAAGGAAGAAGAGGAGAACUGGGAUCAUUUCAAUGAGCCCAGCUACCUCGACUUCUUAAAAUCUAAAAGGAAUCAUAAUGCCUUAAAUUAAAGAAGGCCGGGGUUUUUUCGUAAAAAUAGUGUAGAAUAAGUUUAGCAAAGUAGUAGUAGUCGUAGUAAACUGUAAAUAUUAUAUUAUUGUAUAAAAAAAUAAAAGUUGUAAAAAAAAGCUACAUGUUUUUAUGUACACCUAUUUCAACCUACUGAUACAAGUAAGUGUGACCUGCAAGCAGAGAGUCGCUCACUGUUUCAAGACCACUCAUUCCCUCUUUAUCUUUGAUGUUUUCAUCUCACUUUUUCUCAUUAUCUCACUUUUUUCAAGGCCACAAUAUUGAUGCAUUUUCAUUCAAGGUUAAAAAGUGGGGGUAUAGUUAAUAUAUAGAAUUUAGUACAAGUUUGAUAGCAGUCAGUACUGAUUUAAUCCUCCGAGAAAUAAUAAUAUAAAAAAGUGCAUAUAUCUGUGUUAAUGUCUAAGAGUAUUCGCUGCUGGGUCAUGGAUGUAUUGAAUCGAAUCGCUCGAUGCGGACAGAAGCCCAUUUUAAAAGCUGGUGAGCUAGAGUUGAACACAAGAUUCCGCAUACAUAAUAUUAGACGCACAAAGUCUCUGUUCGGAAAUUCAGUGCUUGUUGAGUUGGACAAUUAUGCAGUGUUUCUGCCGAGAAGAAUAAGUGAUUAUUUGACUGAGGAGAAAAUUGAUGAGUUAUUACGAGAUCCACGUCCACUAUAUUUAAUAUAUUUGGGAAAAGAAGAUGCUAGAAUCCCGACAUCUGCACAUUGUUUUGAGUUUCAACGUGUUGAUGAUGAAAUAUUAGAAAUGUAUAUUUCAUUUACAGUUAACGAGAGUGCCGAAGAGUAGGAUGAAAUUAUCGGAAAAAGACUUAUGUGUGUGAAGUAGUGUGCGUUUUGUGCUAGUGAUAGUUUCUUAAAAUAAAUGAAUAAAAAUCAUGUGUCUAGACGAUGGACAAUAUGAAAAAUGUUUAUACGAGUGUUUUGAUAAAAGACUGUUAUCAUAUAAGAACUGGGUACAUUCAUACCCAUCUCCAUGGAGUUUAGCAAAAGCGGGAUUGUUUUAUAUUCAAAUAUCUGAUUGUACCCAGUGUUUUGUUUGUGGAGUAAUAAUUUCACGAUGGGAAAAAAGUGAUGAUGCGUUUAUGGAGCAUAAAAAACAUUCUCCAAAAUGUGGAUAUGUGAAAUUGCUUUCCACAGACAAAACUACAAUUCAAAAAUUCAAAUUAGUUACUAAAAAUAGCAUUGUUGUAGUUUUAUUUUUUAUAGUAUUUGUAUUCAUGUAUUAUUUAUGGGCGUCUUCUUAUGCAUAGGUAAUGUGAUGCAGACUUGUUAACCUUGAUCAGUGUCGGGCGCGCGCCAAAGGUGAGGUAAACUAAAGGUUUCAAGAGACGUCUUGAUUUAAUUAGUUUAUAAUUAAAUAAGUGGUAGAAUAAUAUGGAGGAUUUAUAAUAGAUUUAAGGAUAUUUAAUGUACUACCUAUAAUAUUGAUGAAAUAAAGUGUUUUAAUUGA